rnacentral:snRNA from 1 species
GCAGGUGUGGGUGAUCUGGCUGUGACACCUGUCAUCAGGGUUGAUUUGGCUGAUCUGGCUGGCUAGGCGGUGUCCCCUUCCUCCCUCACUGCUCCACGUGCAUCCCUCCCGAAGCUGCAUGCUCAUUCAAAGAGGAUGGCCUACCCUGAAUAGAGAUGGACCAGUCUUUGGUCUCA